rnacentral:misc_RNA from 1 species
CUAAGGAGCACUUCUCCACGAUCCUUCACAGAGGUGGAUGUGGUUGUGGCAGAGACCAUGUCGGACUCGAAUGUAGUCCGGUGGAAGCUCAUGGGUGGAACGCUGACAACUUCUUCCGCGUAUCGGUCGGUCUUUGGUGACCGGCUGGUGGUUGAUAUAUCGACACACUGUUGGGUCCUGAAAGAACAGGCGUUCUUUCCAGGCAAAAAAUUCGAUCUGCCUGGAUUUCCUUGAUACCUCGGGGUCUUUGAUGUCGAUGGUCUUGGAGUUCGAUCCGGUGUGGGUGUGUUGUUUGGGAACUGCACAGUGGACGCGAGCAUCUUUGUUAGUAAGUGUUUAAGAGCGUAC